rnacentral:rRNA from 1 species
AGAGAGAGACAUGCGCGCAUAUCAAUAAGCGGAGGAAAAGAAACUAACUAGGAUUCCCUCAGUAACGGCGAGUGAAGCGGGAAGAGCUCAAAUUUGAAAUCUUCAAGGUUCUACCUUGACGAAUUGUAGUUUAAAGAAGUGUUUUCUGUUGGAGCUUUUGGUAAAAGUUCUUUGGAAUAGGACAUCAUAGAGGGUGAGAAUCCCGUAUUUGACCAUUAUUUCCAGCUUUGUGAUACACUUUCAAAGAGUCGGAUUGUUUGGGAAUGCAGUCCAAAAUGGGUGGUAAAUUUCAUCUAAAGCUAAAUAUUGGCGAGAGACCGAUAGCGAACAAGUACCGUGAGGGAAAGAUGAAAAGAACUUUGAAAAGAGAGUUAAACAGUACGUGAAAUUGUCAAAAGGGAAGCGUUUGACACCAGUGUUGUUUUCUCGAAAAUCAAUUAAAAAGAGUCUAGAUUUUGUGUUGUAUUGACUUUAAUCAGCUUCUGCACUUCAAUUUUCUUGUCUUUUUUUAAUGCACUUUUCGUUUAACAAGUCAACAUCAGUUUCUUUUGUUGUAAAAGGGUCAUUGGAAGGUGGCUUUCUUUUCGGAGAAAGUGUUUAUAGCCUUUGGCCUCUGCGAUCGGAGAGAUUGAGGUCUGCAGCGUAGAUCCUUCGGGGUUAAAUGCAUUUGUGCUAAGUUAUAGCCUUUCAUAGACAACUUGUUGACUAUGAUCUGUCAUGUAGCUUACUCGCUUAUGCUAUUUUACCUACGCUUAGGAUGUUGAUGUGAUACUGCGAGCA